rnacentral:rRNA from 1 species
UAGAAUUCCAGGAGUAGCGGUGAAAUGCGUAGAUAUCUGGAGGAAUACCAAAGGCGAAGGCAGUCCCCUGGUCCGAUACUGACACUGAGGUACGAAAGCGUGGGGAGCAAACAGGAUUAGAUACCCUGGUAGUCCACGCCCUAAACGAUGUCGAUUAGCCAUUGGAAGGACCCCUUUUCCUUUCAGUGACGUAGCUAACGCGUUAAAUCGACCGCCUGGGAAGUACGACCGCAAGGUUAAAACUCAAAGGAAUUGACGGGGACCUGAACAAGCGGUGAAUGAUGUGGAUUAAUUCGAUGCUACGCGAAGAACCUUACCUACCUUUGACAUGGCCAAAGUUCUACCGAGAGGCGGAAGUACUCGUAAGAGGAUUGGCGCACAGGUGCUGCAUGGUUGUCGUCAGUUCGUGUCGUGAGAUGUUGGGUUCAGUCCCGCAACGAACGCAACCCUUACCUUUAAUUGCUCCUAUUUUAACAGGCACUUUAAAGAAACUGCCAAUGAUAAGUUGGAGGAAGGUGGGGAUCACGUCAAGUCCGCAUGGCCUUUAUAGGUAGGGCUUCACACGUCAUACAAUGGUUAGAACAAAGAGCUGCAAAUUCGUAAGAAGGAGCCAAUCUCACAAACCUAACCCCAGUUCGAAUUGCGGUCUGCAACUCGAGCGCAUGAAGCCGGAAUCGCUAGUAAUCGUGGAUCAGAAUGC